CCCUUAUAUAUUCUGGGCUGCACGCGUAUUACAAUAUUCUGGACAAUAGGCAAUCUCCAUCAAGAAGGGUACUCGAGUCCAUUAGGAUAAGGAUGCCCCUGCAUGGAACACCAACACUGAGACUAGUGUCUCUUGGUAAUCCUAUGAAAACAGAAGAUUCGAUUCGGUCUUGAUGAGGAGCCUUCGGGUGACUCUGACGGACUCGAUGAGACUUUAUGGCUGGGAUUGCGCUUUGCAAUUUUGGCCCAUAAACCAGGAAUGCCUUGUACAUGUAAGUCAUCAACUUACGUGGAAUACCGUCCCUGUCCUUUGUACACACCGCCCGUCGCUCCUACCAAUAGGUCUCAAGGUGAAAAGUGUGGAGGAUGUCAGCUUGCUGAUGUCCAUAAGCGCUUUGAAUCGAGGGACUCUAGAGGAAGGAGAAGUCGUAACA
rnacentral:rRNA from 1 species